GCGGGAGAGGUUCUAGAACAACCCUCUAUAAAAAACUAGGGAAAG
rnacentral:ncRNA from 1 species